rnacentral:rRNA from 1 species
UACGGAGGGGGCUAGCGUUGUUCGGAAUUACUGGGCGUAAAGCGCACGUAGGCGGCGAUUUAAGUCAGAGGUGAAAGCCCGGAGCUCAACUCCGGAACUGCCUUUGAGACUGGAUUGCUAGAAUCUUGGAGAGGCGAGUGGAAUUCCGAGUGUAGAGGUGAAAUUCGUAGAUAUCUGGAGGAAUACCGGUGGCGAAGGCGGCAUCCUGGACCAUUACUGACGCUGAGGCGCGAAAGCUAGGGGAGCAAACGGG